CCGCCACCGCGCGAGGACCAGCAGCGCUCGUCAGGGCGGUGGAGCAUGGUGCAGCCAUCGUGCUCGUACAUCUCAGGCAUCUCUCUCCAUGAGAAGCCCCAUGGAUGCUCUCUCGUUUGUCAUCUCUUUUUACUCAGAUUCUAUUUUAUCUAUGCUCGGAAGGUGUUUGACAUAAUUCAUGCAAGGGCAAUAUUGAUCUAUUUCAUAUCUUUACUCUAUUGAUUGCUCAAUAAUUUCGUUCUUCUCUGUAAAAAUAGCUCUAGUGCAUUCCAAGCUUUUGCAUAAAUACUGUACACUUGGUAUUCCAUUGCAUUUCCUGGUCGUCCUAGUCCUCUACAGAACUGAUUGAUGCCCUGAGGGAUAUUUUUUUGUUUCAGCAUAUAUACUUCAGUCCAUAUGUGCAUUAUUUAUUCCUUGGUGUUUUGACAUGACGCUGGAUGGUGUCGAGCAGUUUCAAGGAAUGGCACUCUCGACAAGGUCGAUGACAUGCUAGCAUUGGAAACGCAAGUUUAAGUAUUUAUUUAUUAUCUUCAGAACUUAAACUCGGCUUUGAUGGUACAAUACUGAAGUGUUUGAUGGAUCGUGGAUUCGAUUUAAUUGAUGCAAGCUCCGUGCAAUAUGGUCCUUGGGAUUUUUAGUGAUGGCCAUUAUAUUGUGCCAGCAUUGUGGCUAUAUCCUGUGCCUGUUUUGAUCAACAUGGUGGAUAAAGGGUUCCUGUUAUUUUACAACUAACAGUGGCAAAACUAUUUAGGAAGGUGUACAUGACCCUUGCAGCUCUAUUCAGGUCGUAUGACAAGGGUGCCAAUGGUAUAUUGUCUGACAUGUCGAGCCUUCUGUUCUACAGGAAACCCAAUUGUUUAUUUCCAAAACAGAAGCUUCUACCUGUUGUUGCUUAACACGUAGACAGUGAAACAUCAAGCACCAUAAUUUUAGCAAGCUUCGUGCAGGCUAUGCUAGAGAUAAUAAAGCAAUUGGAGAGAGCUAAGCAGGAACACAUACAUGAAUGACUAACAGAACUUUAUGGUGGUAUCGUUGUUCUCAAGGUUACGGUGAAUCCAGGAUAAUGUGUUUCUUUUCAGUUGUACCAAAUAUUCAUCCUCUCCUUCAGGAUCGUGCACCAAGGCGCACCACUAAAUAACUAAGCAUAUGCCGCCAGCCUCCAGCGGGGUGCGGAAGAAGGUGGGCGCGAAGGGGCGGAGCAGGUGCGUGUACUAGAGGAAGGAGCGGCGGCGCGGUCAAGGCCGUCGUCCCCGACCUGUCCUUGACCAUCACGGUUGUCCUCGACCUCCUCAACCAGCAUGAGCAAGCGGAGUGGCCUAACCGUCGCCCAGAGGAGCAUCUGGUGCCCGUCUGGAGCUCUUCCCUUCGACUUCGUGG